rnacentral:tRNA from 1 species
GCCCCGUUCGUCUAGUGGCCCAGGACAUCACCCUCUCACGGUGGAGAUCAGGGGUUCGAAUCCCCUACGGGGUA